rnacentral:lncRNA from 1 species
GUCUGUCUGUUAAGUACCGAACGUGACGUAUUCCCGAAUAUGACUGUUAUACCGAGUGAGAAUUUGCAUUGCUAUACAGCGUGUCUCGGUAUUCUGUACAUCCAACAUUCACGUAUUUAUUUUUGAUGUUUCUGUUAUGGUGUCGGUUUGAUAAUGUGUUAUGUUUUAUCGUUUGUAGUCCAAAUAAUUAUAAAAUUGCCUUUCAAUACCAACAUUGUCAUGACAAUUGUUUGGACAAGUAUUGUGAAAAUAUCUGUAAAAAGUUCGAGAUUGCAUGUUAGUUACGUAAGCGCGUCACUGUUUGACAUAUCCGGUGGUGUCUGUCGUUGAUUGAAUAUGUUCGUUGUUGUUUUGCGGUUUGCAUUUUGUGAAGACUAUUGUUUUAUAUGUUUGUGCAUUUCUCUGUGAUGAAUGUUCUUGCGUGAGUUUGUGCUGUAUUUCUGUCACGUAGUAUUGUCUUUUUAGCGAUUUUUUUUAACAUUGUCAUAAAGCGGGAGGUUUGGCGAGCCAUUAAAUCAGGUUCAACCCACCAUUUUUCUUAAAAUGUCCUGUACCAAGUCAGGAAUAUGGCAGUUUAUUAUCAAAUAGUUCGUUUCUAUGUAUGUUGGCGUUUGUUUUUGUUGGACUUCAGUGUUCCUGUUGUUCCUUUGUUUUCCUCUAAUAGUUGAUGUUUAUUCCUCGGUUUUAGUUUGUAACCCGGAUUUGUUUUCUCUCAAUCGAUUUAUGACUUUUGAACACCGGUAUAUUACUCUUGCCUUUAUGUACAAUAUAUAUCAACUAGUUUACAAACGAAUAUAUUAGACUUCCGUUGGCCAGUUUAUUGCCAAUAUUAAUUUGUUUGCAUUUACGAAUGUUUGCAUUAAUAUAAUAUGUUAUAUUCAUCAAUGUAAAUAUUUACCUUGGAAAAUAGGAAAAAAAUGGAACAGUGGUAUAUCUGUGAAAAC